rnacentral:rRNA from 1 species
UACGUAGGGUGCAAGCGUUGUCCGGAAUUAUUGGGCGUAAAGAGCUCGUAGGCGGUCUGUCACGUCGGCUGUGAAAACCCGGGGCUCAACCCCGGGCCUGCAGUCGAUACGGGCAGACUAGAGUGCGGUAGGGGAGACUGGAAUUCCUGGUGUAGCGGUGAAAUGCGCAGAUAUCAGGAGGAACACCAGUGGCGAAGGCGGCGAUCUGGGCAGAUACUGACGCUGAGGUGCGAAAGCGCGGGGAGCAAACAGG